AGUUUGGAAUCCUGGCUCAGGAUGAACGCUGGCGGCGUGCCUAAUACAUGCAAGUCGAGCGAACGGACGAGAAGCUUGCUUCUCUGAUGUUAGCGGCGGACGGGUGAGUAACACGUGGAUAACCUACCUAUAAGACUGGGAUAACUUCGGGAAACCGGAGCUAAUACCGGAUAAUAUUUUGAACCGCAUGGUUCAAAAGUGAAAGACGGUCUUGCUGUCACUUAUAGAUGGAUCCGCGCUGCAUUAGCUAGUUGGUAAGGUAACGGCUUACCAAGGCAACGAUGCAUAGCCGACCUGAGAGGGUGAUCGGCCACACUGGAACUGAGACACGGUCCAGACUCCUACGGGAGGCAGCAGUAGGGAAUCUUCCGCAAUGGGCGAAAGCCUGACGGAGCAACGCCGCGUGAGUGAUGAAGGUCUUCGGAUCGUAAAACUCUGUUAUUAGGGAAGAACAUAUGUGUAAGUAACUGUGCACAUCUUGACGGUACCUAAUCAGAAAGCCACGGCUAACUACGUGCCAGCAGCCGCGGUAAUACGUAGGUGGCAAGCGUUAUCCGGAAUUAUUGGGCGUAAAGCGCGCGUAGGCGGUUUUUUAAGUCUGAUGUGAAAGCCCACGGCUCAACCGUGGAGGGUCAUUGGAAACUGGAAAACUUGAGUGCAGAAGAGGAAAGUGGAAUUCCAUGUGUAGCGGUGAAAUGCGCAGAGAUAUGGAGGAACACCAGUGGCGAAGGCGACUUUCUGGUCUGUAACUGACGCUGAUGUGCGAAAGCGUGGGGAUCAAACAGGAUUAGAUACCCUGGUAGUCCACGCCGUAAACGAUGAGUGCUAAGUGUUAGGGGGUUUCCGCCCCUUAGUGCUGCAGCUAACGCAUUAAGCACUCCGCCUGGGGAGUACGACCGCAAGGUUGAAACUCAAAGGAAUUGACGGGGACCCGCACAAGCGGUGGAGCAUGUGGUUUAAUUCGAAGCAACGCGAAGAACCUUACCAAAUCUUGACAUCCUUUGACAACUCUAGAGAUAGAGCUUUCCCCUUCGGGGGACAAAGUGACAGGUGGUGCAUGGUUGUCGUCAGCUCGUGUCGUGAGAUGUUGGGUUAAGUCCCGCAACGAGCGCAACCCUUAAGCUUAGUUGCCAUCAUUAAGUUGGGCACUCUAAGUUGACUGCCGGUGACAAACCGGAGGAAGGUGGGGAUGACGUCAAAUCAUCAUGCCCCUUAUGAUUUGGGCUACACACGUGCUACAAUGGACAAUACAAAGGGCAGCGAAACCGCGAGGUCAAGCAAAUCCCAUAAAGUUGUUCUCAGUUCGGAUUGUAGUCUGCAACUCGACUACAUGAAGCUGGAAUCGCUAGUAAUCGUAGAUCAGCAUGCUACGGUGAAUACGUUCCCGGGUCUUGUACACACCGCCCGUCACACCACGAGAGUUUGUAACACCCGAAGCCGGUGGAGUAACCUUUUAGGAGCUAGCC
rnacentral:rRNA from 1 species